CAGGAUAUAAUUUAACUAAAAUGCUGAUUUUGGAGGUCAGUAAUAGGAAUUAGUUUUCCUUAUCUUGA
rnacentral:tRNA from 1 species